GUGUGUGUGUGUGUGUGUGUGUGUGUGUGUAUAUAUAUAUAUAUGUGUGUGUGUGUGUGUGUACACACACACACACACACACACAG